CCUGAUGGAUUACCAACCAAUUUCAUGGUGCUGGAUUCGCCAUCAAAUAUAAAAGCGGUAUUAUCUUCACGAGAAUAUGUGGAUGUAACACGAACACUCCCAUUAGGCAUAAAAUCGAGCUUAUAUCCAAAAAGCGAAAAAACAGCUUCGCGAAAUUCCAAAGACUUUACUGAAAAAAUCUCCUUUAACCGUUGAAUUCUCUUUUCUCUCUCGGCUACUUCUUUCUUUAAAUCCAAGGCCUUUCUUUCAGCUAUUUUA